rnacentral:rRNA from 1 species
AUCAAAAACAUGUCUUUUUGAAUAAAAAUUUAAAGUCUAAUCUGCUCAAUGAUAAAUUUAAAUGGCCGCAGUAGCUUGACUGUGCAAAGGUAGCAUAAUAAAUAGUUUUUUAAUUGAAAACUGGAAUGAAUGAUUUAAUAAAAUAUAAACUGUCUCAAAUUUAAAAAGUAAAAAUUAAAUUUUAAGUAAAAAUGCUUAAAUUUAUUUAAGGGACGAUAAGACCCUAUAGAUCUUUAUAAAAUUAUUUAAAUAAUUUUAAUGAUAAAUAAAUAUUUAACUAAUUUUAUUUAAUUGGGGUUAUUAAUAAAUUUAAUAAAUUUUAAUAAAAUAAAUACAUUAAUUAAUGGUUAUAAAAAUAAAUUAUUAUAAUUGUUAUAAUUUAAAAAAGGUACCUUAGGGAUAACAGCGUAAUAAUUUUUAAGAGUUCAUAUUUAAAAAAUUGUUUGCGACCUCGAUGUUGA